CCGCGGUAAUACGGAGGGUGCAAGCGUUAAUCGGAAUUACUGGGCGUAAAGCGCGCGUAGGUGGUUUGAUAAGCGAGAUGUGAAAGCCCCGGGCUUAACCUGGGAACGGCAUUUCGAACUGUCAGGCUAGAGUAUGGUAGAGGGUAGUGGAAUUUCCUGUGUAGCGGUGAAAUGCGUAGAUAUCUGAAGGAACACCAAUGGCGAAGGCGGCUACCUGGACCAAUACUGACACUGAUGUGCGAAAGCGUGGGGAGCAAACAGGAUUAGAUACCCUGGUAGUCCACGCCGU
rnacentral:rRNA from 1 species